ACACGACUCUCGGNAACGGAUAUCUCGGCUCUCGCAUCGAUGAANAACGUANCGAAAUGCGAUACCUGGUGUGAAUUGCAGAAUCCCGCGAACCAUCGAGUCUUUGAACGCAAGUUGCGCCCGAGGCCAUUNGGCCNAGGGCACGCCUGCCUGGGCGUCACGC
rnacentral:rRNA from 1 species